GAUGAACGCUGGCGGCGUGCCUAACACAUGCAAGUCGAGCGAUUUACUUCGGUAAAGAGCGGCGGACGGGUGAGUAACGCGUGGGUAACCUGCCCUGUACACACGGAUAACAUACCGAAAGGUAUGCUAAUACGAGAUAAAAUACUUUUAUCGCAUGGUAGAAGUAUCAAAGCUUUUGCGGUACAGGAUGGACCCGCGUCUGAUUAGCUAGUUGGUAAGGUAACGGCUUACCAAGGCGACGAUCAGUAGCCGACCUGAGAGGGUGAUCGGCCACAUUGGAACUGAGACACGGUCCAAACUCCUACGGGAGGCAGCAGUGGGGAAUAUUGCACAAUGGGCGAAAGCCUGAUGCAGCAACGCCGCGUGAGCGAUGAAGGCCUUCGGGUCGUAAAGCUCUGUCCUCAAGGAAGAUAAUGACGGUACUUGAGGAGGAAGCCCCGGCUAACUACGUGCCAGCAGCCGCGGUAAUACGUAGGGGGCUAGCGUUAUCCGGAAUUACUGGGCGUAAAGGGUGCGUAGGUGGUUUCUUAAGUCAGAGGUGAAAGGCUACGGCUCAACCGUAGUAAGCCUUUGAAACUGGGGAACUUGAGUGCAGGAGAGGAGAGUGGAAUUCCUAGUGUAGCGGUGAAAUGCGUAGAUAUUAGGAGGAACACCAGUUGCGAAGGCGGCUCUCUGGACUGUAACUGACACUGAGGCACGAAAGCGUGGGGAGCAAACAGGAUUAGAUACCCUGGUAGUCCACGCCGUAAACGAUGAGUACUAGCUGUCGGAGGUUACCCCCUUCGGUGGCGCAGCUAACGCAUUAAGUACUCCGCCUGGGAAGUACGCUCGCAAGAGUGAAACUCAAAGGAAUUGACGGGGACCCGCACAAGUAGCGGAGCAUGUGGUUUAAUUCGAAGCAACGCGAAGAACCUUACCUAAGCUUGACAUCCUUUUGACCGAUGCCUAAUCGCAUCUUUCCCUUCGGGGACAGAAGUGACAGGUGGUGCAUGGUUGUCGUCAGCUCGUGUCGUGAGAUGUUGGGUUAAGUCCCGCAACGAGCGCAACCCUUGCCUUUAGUUGCCAGCAUUAAGUUGGGCACUCUAGAGGGACUGCCAGGGAUAACCUGGAGGAAGGUGGGGAUGACGUCAAAUCAUCAUGCCCCUUAUGCUUAGGGCUACACACGUGCUACAAUGGGUGGUACAGAGGGCAGCCAAGUCGUGAGGCGGAGCUAAUCCCUUAAAGCCAUUCUCAGUUCGGAUUGUAGGCUGAAACUCGCCUACAUGAAGCUGGAGUUACUAGUAAUCGCAGAUCAGAAUGCUGCGGUGAAUGCGUUCCCGGGUCUUGUACACACCGCCCGUCACACCACGGAAGUUGGGGGCGCCCGAAGCCACUUAGCUAACCCAUUUGGGAAGCGAGUGUCGAAGGUGAAAUCAAUAACUGGGGUGAAGUCGUAACAAGGUAGCCGUAUCGGAAGGUGCGGCUGGAUCACCUCCUUUCUAAGGAGAAUUACCUACUGUUUAAUUUUGAGGGUUCUUAAUAAAAAUUAAAAACUCUAUUGACAAUCUUCGACAUAUACUAUAAAAUGUAUAUCGUUGUAAAAAUAAAUAUGGGGGUGUAGCUCAGCUGGGAGAGCACUUGCCUUGCACGCAAGGGGUCAGGAGUUCGAUCCUCCUCAUCUCCACCAUGUUUGUACUUUGAAAACUGCAUAACAUUUAGUGAUAUGACAUCAUUUUAAACAUAUAUAGACAAGAAAAGUCUUUAAAAUUACACUUUUAAUAACUGGUCAAGUUAUUAAGGGUGCAGGGCGGAUGCCUUGGCACUAGGAGCCGAUGAAGGACGUGAUAAGCUGCGAUAAGCUUCGGGGAGUUGCACGUAAACUUUGAUCCGAAGAUUUCCGAAUGAGGAAACUCACUUAGAGUAAUGUCUAAGUAUCGUUAAGUGAAUACAUAGCUUAGCGAGGGGAACCCGGGGAACUGAAACAUCUAAGUACCCGGAGGAAGAGAAAGAAAUUCGAUUCCGUAAGUAGCGGCGAGCGAAAGCGGAACAGGCCAAACCAGUGAAGUUUACUUCGUUGGGGUUGCGGACAUGUCAUUAACGAAGAGGUCAUCGUAGACGAAGAGAGUUGGAAAGCUCCGCUAUAAAGUGUAAUAGCCACGUAGUUGAAACGAUAAUUCUUUAGAUAUGAUCCAGAGUACCACGGGACACGUGAAACCCUGUGGGAAGCAGGAGGGACCAUCCUCCAAGCCUAAAUACUACCUAGUGACCGAUAGCGCAU
rnacentral:rRNA from 1 species